AUAAAAGCGAAGAAAAGAAGCAGUAGUUACAUAACACUGGCUAAAGAGAGUAGGUGAUGGUGGAAUAUCUACGCUAAGAGUGUAAUGAAUAACAUCUUGAAGUUUCCAAUGGAAAUCUAUAUUUAUAUUAGAGUGUACAUUUGGACGGAGCCAAACCGUUAGUAGUUGGACAGUAUCGAACUUAGAAAUAGUUCUGUACUGAUAUUGAGUGAGCAUAUGUAAGCUAACAUAGGUGGUACCGCGGAAGUUAUACCUUUCGUCCUAUUU
rnacentral:ncRNA from 1 species